GGGCCUGUAGCUCAGUUGGUAGAGCAUCUGACUGAAACUCAGCGGGUCGCGGGUUCAAGUCCCGCCAGGUCUG
rnacentral:tRNA from 1 species